CUUUGCAGCUGUAGUUUCCUGUCAUGUGGCAAAGUAAUGCCAAGAAACCUGGAGAUGAAUAAACUGUUGGUAUGUUGGAUGCUGUAGCCCAUGUGCCACUGGGAUGUCCUGGAGUUGGAGCUGCUGUGCAGGCUGCACACUCUGCCUGGGUUAUGCCAUUUCACCAGGCCUCAAACAGUAUCAGGUGGCCCCACUCAGGCUCUCUCCUCCCCAAAGGGGAGCAGCAGCAGAGGGCAGCAACAGGACAUGUGGCAAACUGGGCCCCUCUUGGCACCACCUCCCAGUUUGCAUUUGCCCUCUAACUACUGGGAGGAGUCCUGCUUUGUCUAUAAAAAGCUGCACUUUGCCGAACAGUGUAACAGAACCGAACUUAGGGAUUCACUCGCCCAUCUCAUCCGGGGAGAGAGGACUGAGCACAGCCAUGUUCGGGAUUGGGAAGAAGCUCGCUGGAGAAGCUGUGCAACAAGCUGAAAGUGCUGCACAGGUGGCAGUUGACACGGUGAACCAGACUGUGCAGCAAGCAGCAGAACAGGCAAAGACUGCUGGUCAGAAAGCACUUGAUGAAGUCUACAAAGUUGCUGAAACUGGUGAAAAAGCUGUAAAAAAUGUAGCAAACCAAGCAACUUCAUGGGGCAAAAGCUUUGGACAAUAA
rnacentral:lncRNA from 1 species